GACGAACGCUGGCGGCGUGCCUAACACAUGCAAGUCGAACGAAGUAUAGUAAUAUACUUAGUGGCGGACGGGUGAGUAACGCGUGAACAAUCUGCCCUGUACAAAGGAAUAGCCUCGGGAAACCGGGAUUAAAACCAUAUGACACUUUAGUACCGCAUGGUAUAGAAGUCAAAUUGAUUUAGAGGUAUGGGAUGAGUUCGCGUCUGAUUAGCUAGUUGGUAAGGUAAUGGCUUACCAAGGCGACGAUCAGUAGCCGGCCUGAGAGGGUGAACGGCCACACUGGAACUGAGACACGGUCCAGACUCCUACGGGAGGCAGCAGUGGGGAAUAUUGCACAAUGGAGGAAACUCUGAUGCAGCGACGCCGCGUGAGUGAAGAAGGUCUUCGGAUCGUAAAACUCUGUCCUUGGUGAAGAAAAAGACGGUAGCCAAGGAGGAAGCCCCAGCUAACUACGUGCCAGCCGCCGCAGUAAUAC
rnacentral:rRNA from 1 species